AAAGCUAAGCGGAGUCACUUUGCUGCUGUUGCUGUGUCAACAUGCAUGUUUCCUCUCUGCAACUGGCAUUGCAAAAAAAUCAGUGACCUGUGAAGGAGGAUCUGCGUCCCUCAGUUGUCGUGAGUAGUUUCUCACAUAC